UUGACUGCUUUUCUAUAGUAUUCACUUAAUUUGUUCUACCAUAAGUAAUAUUAAUGCAAAUCACCCUUUCCUAAAAAGAAUCUUCCACCAAAAAUGUCUUUAAUUCCCCUUUUACUUAAAAUGGGAAAUUGAUUAAACUACUGACUCACUAUUGAUUCUAUCGGUAUGCUAUAUGGAAGACUCUCUCUCUGUUCUCUCUCUCAAAAUCUUUCUCUCUCUCAAAAUCUUUCACAGAGAGAGUGUUUUCUCUUUUUUGAUUUUCGACUGAUCGGAUGAUAAAUUCUGGCAAAGUCCGGAGUUCUUUCGGCUAUGUCCGAUUUGUUUCCGGUUUUAAUCCGGCUUCUCUUCCGACUCGGUUCAGAUUUGUUUGUUUUGUUUUAGUUUCAAAUCUUUUGCAGAUCAAGGAAGUUAUCCGAUCCUGGAAAUGUUGGCGAUUUAGUUUUUGGAUCUCUUGACCAUUCAAUCGUCUAGAGUAAUUCCUCGCCUAUCCUUAAAGGAUUUAAAAGGCGACGUGUGUCUUCUCGAUUGUUUUGGCAAGUCGAAGCAGUUGAUUGGAGUGGCGUAUGACGAUUCGGUGUAUUUCACCGCGUUGUAUGGUUGCCCGAGGAAUACGACGGUCUAUUUCAACUGAGGUUUUCUGGUGAUCCAAUCUCAAUCAACUAAUUCCGGCGACAUCUGCAAAAGAGACCUUCUACGGUGGGUUUUGUUGAGGAUUUUGGCUGGUUUGGUGGAAUUAAGUGGAGAACCAUGUUGAUUACAUCGAAAUUGCCUACGAUAGUGUUGCAGCGGUGGUUUGGCGAUGCAACCAGACGAUGCUCAUCUGCCUUUUUUUGCACAACACCUGUCCAACACGUGUCUACUUUUAGCUCAACUUUAUAUUUUUGUUUUGUGCUAAUUUUGUUGGGCUACUGGACUGUAUUUAGUGUAAAAAUGUUGGGCUUUAAACAACAAAAAUCAUUGGUAGAUUUGUGCUCAUUUAUUGGACUUGAAAAUUUGCAGACAAAAAAAAAAAAAAAAAAAAAAUUGCAGAGUUGUUGCAAACAUUUAAAAAGAGGUAGUGAUUUUCCUAAAGUUAAUAAAAAAAGUUGCUUUUAUUAAUUCAUGAUUUAAGUUUCAAUUUUAGGUUUUGAUAUCAUUUAUUGGGCUUUUCCAAGCCUAUGUCUAACUCUUCAAUUAGUAUGAUAUUGUCCGUUUUGGACCCAACUAGUAAAAGCCGCACAGAUUUGGUUUUGAGCUCCUUCCCAAAAG
rnacentral:lncRNA from 1 species